CCUACGGGAGGCAGCAGUGAGGAAUAUUGGUCAAUGGACGAGAGUCUGAACCAGCCAAGUAGCGUGAAGGAUGACUGCCCUAUGGGUUGUAAACUUCUUUUAUAUGGGAAUAAAAUGUUCCACGUGUGGGAUUUUGUAUGUACCAUAUGAAUAAGGAUCGGCUAACUCCGUGCCAGCAGCCGCGGUAAUACGGAGGAUCCGAGCGUUAUCCGGAUUUAUUGGGUUUAAAGGGAGCGUAGGUGGAUUGUUAAGUCAGUUGUGAAAGUUUGCGGCUCAACCGUAAAAUUGCAGUUGAAACUGGCAGUCUUGAGUACAGUAGAGGUGGGCGGAAUUCGUGGUGUAGCGGUGAAAUGCUUAGAUAUCACGAAGAACGCCGAUUGCGAAGGCAGUUCACUGGACUGCAACUGACGCUGAGGCUCGAAAGUGCGGGUAUCAAACAGGAUUAGAUACCCGUGUAGUC
rnacentral:rRNA from 1 species